rnacentral:rRNA from 1 species
GCAAGUCGAGGGGCAGCACGGUGUAGCAAUACACGGGUGGCGACCGGCGCACGGAUGAGUAACGCGUAUGCAACCUGCCUACUACAAGGGGAUAACCCGUUGAAAGACGGACUAAUACCCUAUAACACAGGGAAUCCGCAUGGAUAUAUUUGUUAAAGAUUAAUCGGUAGUAGAUGGGCAUGCGUUCCAUUAGCUUGUUGGUGAGGUAACGGCUCACCAAGGCAACGAUGGAUAGGGGAACUGAGAGGUUGAUCCCCCACACUGGAACUGAGACACGGUCCAGACUCCUACGGGAGGCAGCAGUGAGGAAUAUUGGUCAAUGGACGAGAGUCUGAACCAGCCAAGUCGCGUGAAGGAAGACGGCCCUACGGGUUGUAAACUUCUUUUGUAAGGGAAUAAAGAGUCUUACGAGCUAAGACGUUGCAGGUACCUUACGAAUAAGGAUCGGCUAACUCCGUGCCAGCAGCCGCGGUAAUACGGAGGAUCCGAGCGUUAUCCGGAUUUAUUGGGUUUAAAGGGUGCGCAGGCGGCAUGUUAAGUCGGCGGUGAAAUUUUGCAGCUCAACUGUAAAAGAGCCUUCGAAACUGGCAAGCUUGAGUGUGGAUGAAGUAGGCGGAAUUUGUGGUGUAGCGGUGAAAUGCAUAGAUAUCACAAAGAACACCGAUUGCGCAGGCAGCUUACUAAACCAUAACUGACGCUCAUGCACGAAGGCGUGGGGAUCAAACAGGAUUAGAUACCCUGGUAGUCCACGCAGUAAACGAUGAUUACUGGCUGUUUGCGAUACAAUGUAAGCGGCUGAGCGAAAGCGUUAAGUAAUCCACCUGGGGAGUACGUUCGCAAGAAUGCAACUCAAUGAAUUGACGGAA